AGGGCCAGCGCGCGGCCGGACCCCGAGAGGGAGCGGAGGGGUGUCGGGGUGGAGACAGCGGUGUCUGGAUACGAUGGUUCGACUGAAAUUCUCGACGUUGUGAGGGUGUGAAGGCAAUACUGAUUCAGUAGGAACUCGGCGGGUGGAAUUCUCAGUGUCGGUCUCUCCUGGGGUGGUGCCGUCCCAUCAGCUCCGUCAGCCACGCGAUCACGAGGGCGAAGGGCCCCUAAGCUCACCGCCAGUGUCCGCGCGUCCUGCCGCUCCGCCCUGUCACUGUCCAGACAGUGUGUGUCUGUGCGAGAUACUCGGCCGCUGGGCGUAGACGGCAAGGCCCUGAGCUGUGAUGUUCAGUAGGCCACAUGCAGCAAAUGCGUUUCUGACUCCUGACAUUUCCAGUUUAUAAUGGGCUUGUAGAGAUGGAAUCCUACUGUAAGUUGAAGAUGUGCGUUAUUUUCUGUUACUGAUUACUGCCCAUUAAAUGGGGAGGCCCACCGAUGACA